AUUGAACGCUGGCGGCAUGCCUUACACAUGCAAGUCGAACGGUAACAGGUCUUCGGAUGCUGACGAGUGGCGAACGGGUGAGUAAUACAUCGGAACGUGCCCGAUCGUGGGGGAUAACGAAGCGAAAGCUUUGCUAAUACCGCAUAAGAUCUAAGGAUGAGAGCAGGGGACCGCAAGGCCUUGCGCGAACGGAGCGGCCGAUGGCAGAUUAGGUAGUUGGUGGGAUAAAAGCUUACCAAGCCGACGAUCUGUAGCUGGUCUGAGAGGACGACCAGCCACACUGGGACUGGGACACGGGCCAGACUCCUACGGGAGGCAGCAGUGGGGAAUUUUGGACAAUGGGCGAAAGCCUGAUCCAGCCAUGCCGCGUGCAGGAUGAAGGCCUUCGGGUUGUAAACUGCUUUUGUACGGAACGAAAAGACUCUGGUUAAUACCUGGGGUCCAUGACGGUACCGUAAGAAUAAGCACCGGCUAACUACGUGCCAGCAGCCGCGGUAAGAC
rnacentral:rRNA from 1 species